GGCCAGAUAGGACCCCAGCCUAAACUAGUCAUAAGUUACUGGAGCGCCUAGUACAAGAGAGACGAGUGGGCUUUCGACGGCAUAAUUACAAAGUAUCUUUUAGAACCUGACAGAACCUGACUUUAUGAUCAUGUCCUCAGCUAGAGGCAGAACCUUCGCCACUGCCUGCCUCGGGGCCGCCUCUGGAAAGCCAGGGGAGUGCAUGGGGUUGUCCUGGGAGUGGGAGGUCCGGCCAAUGUUCCAUGGGCAGCCGCCAGGGCUGCGCCACCUUCUGCAGAGGCUGGGCCUGGCCACGGGAAGUCCCAUCCCCGCGACUGAGAACCCCCGUGUGAGUCUGCACCUCUGAGCUCUGUGGGAGGCACUGAGGGGAACCCUGCCCACCCUGAGAGCAGCCUGCACCCACCUGGCACCCGGAAGAGACACAGCGACCUCUGUCGCGCCUGAAAAGUGCAGCACCAGGGAGGAUCCAGGGGACACAGUGACACCUCAGACAUCACCCUGGUCCUGCAGCUGCUGACACCUCCACACUUGGGCAAGUCCUGACCAUUCCCAAGUGGCCAGCUCAGAGGGAGCCACUUACAGGGCCUCGAGGCCAUGUCACCCCUCCCGAACGCUGAUCCAGACUGUCUGAUCAUGUUUCCAAGUGAAAGUACACUUAUAAUUUGUCUGGCUUCUUAAUUUCUCCUAAGACAAAGUGACAGACUCCUCUGCUCUCCCCCUCUGUCUUAGCUUUUAUUAUUUCUUUCUUUAUUUUUCCAUCUCGCCCACUCCUUUCUCUCGCUCAGCCUCCCUGCUGCAUUCAGUUGUCACUUUAGUAUUAGCCCACUGUCUGCCUGGCAACCCACUAUUAUGCACUUAUUUUAUUACUUGGUUUCCUACCCUGAUCUUGUGAUUCAUCCCUAACCUUUACUGACUGUAACAUAACUCCUUGCCUCUUCUUUUCUCUUUCCCAGCCUCCUCAGUUCUUAACUUUCCCAUGUCAGUAUCUGCUCAAGCCAGAGCCAUCCUGGCACAGGAAAACAACGCAUCUGCAGUCCGAGGCCCACAACCUUGUUUUGUACUCAUCUAUUUCAUCAAAUGAAGUCUGGGCUUAAUGGUGCCGAGUCCCUCUGGAUAACCACAGGAGAGAUAAACAGGAAUCAAGGGAGGAAAUGAGGUGAUAACUCGUGUCACCAGCAGCUUCUGGACCCAAGGCCAAAGUCAAGACUUGGUAACCUAGACCUCGCCCCAUGAUUAUGUCACCAAGUUAUAUAAAUGUAGGUUGAUGUUCACGGUUCAGAUGGCCAUGCAGAAGGUUUCUAGGUAUUGUCAGAACUGUACAGGACAGUUUUAAGGAGAAAUAGAGACUUCUUGUUUGAAGGAUGCCUAACUCAAAGAAACUCGAUGUAAGAAACAUCCAAAGUUAUAUAAUAAAUAUGUUCCCAUUGUGUAAGUGCUGUCAGGGUAGCAUUUUCUGGGGAGACACUGGGAAGAAAGAAGAUGGACGAGAAUCUUGGAUUUAGAGGGUAUUAAGGGCUGGAAGAGGACUCAUGAACCCCUUCAAAUUCCUUAAUAUUUAGAUGAGGAAACUGAGGGUCUGAGAGGUCAGGAUUUACCAAGAACCAGAGCCUGACUGGCUUCAAAAUGCAAACCCUUUCGAGCGCCCGCAUUUACUCCGAUUCAGAGUUCAGAGCAGCAGGAGGGUUGUGGAAGCACACCAGCCUGGGGAGGAAUGCUGGGAACCACACACUCGGUGGUCACACUCACAACUUGUUUCUCCGAAACCGACGGAUCCUAAAAGUUAAUGAGAAAUGCCUAACAUGGGGCUGGACACUCCGUGGACACCUGGCAUCUGCUCCCAGACGCCUCUUAUGAACAUUUCAUAUACACGAAGUCGUAUAAUAUGGAGUCUCCUGGUAUUUUGUGACUGGCAUUUUGGGUAAUGUUUUCAAGGUUCAUCAGUGUUGGGGCAUGUAUCAAACAUUCCUUUUCCUGGCUGAAUACUAUUCCAUUGUGUGGCUAUGCUGCAUUUGGCUUACCUGUUCAUCAAUUUUUGGGUUGUUUCCAUUUUGGACCAUUGUUAAUAAUGUUACUGGCCCCUGUCUUUUAAUACUAAGUAAAUACUACUUACUUUAGCUCCUGCCCGCUCAUCCUCCUAAUCUUGACAACUUGGCCCUAAGUUUUGCAAUGUAGCAACC
ensembl:lncRNA